rnacentral:rRNA from 1 species
UGGGCGGAAGCCUGAUCCAGCCAUGCCGCGUGAAGGAAUAAGGUCCUAUGGGUCGUAAACUUCUUUUGACGCAGAGCAAUAAGGGACACGCGUGUUCCGAUGAGAGUAUGCGUCGAAUAAGCAUCGGCUAACUCCGUGCCAGCAGCCGCGGUAAUACGGAGGAUGCGAGCGUUAUCCGGAUUUAUUGGGUUUAAAGGGUGCGUAGGCUGUUGGAUAAGUCAGCGGUGAAAUCACCACGCUUAACGUGUUGUGUGCCGUUGAAACUGUCCAGCUUGAAUGCGCUCGUCGUGAGAGGAAUGUGUGGUGUAGCGGUGAAAUGCAUAGAUAUCACACAGAACACCGAUUGCGAAGGCAUCUCACGAGGGCGCUAUUGACGCUGAUGCACGAAAGCGCGGGUAUCGAACAGGAUUAGAUACCCUGGUAGUCCGCGCUGUAAACGAUGAUGACUAACCGUUGGUCUGGUAUGGAUCAGUGGUCAAGCGAAAGCGUUAAGUCAUCCACCUGGGGAGUACGGCCGCAAGGCUGAAACUCAAAGGAAUUGACGGGGGCCCGCACAAGCGGAGGAACAUGUGGUUUAAUUCGAUGAUACACGAGGAACCU